AGUAUACUCCCUCUGUCCGGAAAUACUUGUCCUAUAUAUGGUUGUGUCUAGACUUAUUUUAGUUAUAGAUACAUUAAUUUUAUCCAUUUCUAGGACAAGUAUUUCCGGAUGGAGGGAGUACUAA
rfam:Triticum aestivum genome assembly, contig: Triticum_aestivum_CS42_TGACv1_scaffold_197366_3AL